rnacentral:rRNA from 1 species
UACGGAGGGUGCGAGCGUUGUCCGGAAUCACUGGGCGUAAAGGGCGCGUAGGCGGCAUGCCAAGCGUGUGGUGAAAGCCCGGGGCUCAACCCCGGGUCGGCCGUGCGGACUGGCGUGCUCGAGCACUGUAGGGGCGGGUGGAAUUCCGGGUGUAGCGGUGGAAUGCGUAGAUAUGCGGAGGAACACCGAUGGCGAAGGCAAUCCCCUGGGCCUGCACUGACGCUCAUGCACGAAAGCGUGGGGAGCAAACAGG